rnacentral:rRNA from 1 species
GGGUGCGAGCGUUAAUCGGAAUUACUGGGCGUAAAGCGUGCGCAGGCGGUUUUGUAAGACAGGCGUGAAAUCCCCGAGCUCAACUUGGGAAUGGCGCUUGUGACUGCAAGGCUAGAGUAUGUCAGAGGGGGGUAGAAUUCCACGUGUAGCAGUGAAAUGCGUAGAGAUGUGGAGGAAUACCGAUGGCGAAGGCAGCCCCCUGGGACGUCACUGACGCUCAUGCACGAAAGCGUGGGGAGCAA